GGGUGACGGGUGGUCGCCGCUGCAUUUACUUGCAGGGGAGGAAAGUCCGAGCACCUCAUGAAUCAGAGUGCCUGCUAACGGCAGGGCGGGGCGACCCGAUAGAUAGUGCAACAGAAAAUAAUCCGCCAGUAUGAAAAUGUUGGUAAGGCUGAAAAGGUGCGGUAAGAGCGCACCGCCCGGGAUGGUGACAUACGGGGCUAGGUAAACCUCACUCGGUGCAAGACCAAAUAGGGAAGCGUUGACCGGAUUCGGGUAGCUUCCGGGUUGGUUGCUUGAGCCUGCGGGUAACUGCAGGUCUAGAUGGAUGGCCGCCGCCGGUUUAUCGAACCGGUACAGGACUCGGCUUAUAGUCAGCCUC
rnacentral:RNase_P_RNA from 1 species